rnacentral:rRNA from 1 species
CCUACGGGAGGCAGCAGUGGGGAAUAUUGCACAAUGGGGGAAACCCUGAUGCAGCGACGCCGCGUGAGUGAAGAAGUAUUUCGGUAUGUAAAGCUCUAUCAGCAGGGAAGAAGAAAGACGGUACCUGACUAAGAAGCCCCGGCUAACUACGUGCCAGCAGCCGCGGUAAUACGUAGGGGGCAAGCGUUAUCCGGAUUUACGGGGUGUAAAGGGAGCGUAGACGGCUGUGCAAGUCUGAAGUGAAAGGCCAGGGCUCAACCCUGGGACUGCUUUGGAAACUGUGGGGCUAGAGUGCUGGAGAGGUAGGUGGAAUUCCUGGUGUAGCGGUGAAAUGCGUAGAUAUUAGGAGGAACACCGGUGGCGAAGGCGGCUUACUGGACAGUAACUGACGUUGAGGCUCGAAAGCGUGGGGAGCAAACAGGAUUAGAUACCCUGGUAGUC